AUAAAAGGCAGGAGCUGAUGUCUUUGACUGUUUUUACCAGUUCAAGCUAAGGACUUGCAUGUGGGAGCCUCAUGAGGCAGGGGGAACCCUGCCUUCCUGGACAUAGAUAGUCCCCCAGGGACUCCCAGUGGAAAGGUCUGGAUCUCUUCAAUGAGCAAGCUAAUACAUGUCAUGAGGUGAUUGCCUGGUGACCACAGAAAGAGGGGAAGCAGGGAGGAAGGAAGCCAGAGAACAUAGCAGUACUUUAAAACAAAGGAAAAAAAUUUCACUUAGUUCUAGCAGCACCAGCACCUUUCCUGAAGUUGACUCCCUUCUUCUUCUGGCAGAGUGAGCUGGACUGAUUUAUAUAGGUCCCAGGCCCCUCCCAUUCCCAGCAGCCAAAAUGUGUUGCCAUCCUCUGACUCCUCCACAACAAUAUAUCUGUGACAGUUGUCAGCAAUGGAUCGGAAAGGGCCUCUUCCUAGCUCCAACCCUUUUCUCCAUUUUUCUUGCUGUCAUCCUCCUCCUCAUUGUUGAAAAGCUCCACUCCAGACUUGACAUCCAAGACAGAAUGGACAGCAAGUUCUUCAACCUCUACGACUAUCACUAAAUCAGUCACUGAACUCCAAUAUGCAGAUGGUUGUGCCCUGUGUGCCCACUCGGAAGAAGAUCUUCAAAAAAUAGUCAAUACAUUCUCUGAGACCUACAACCAACUUGGCCUCAUGCUCAAUACCAAGAGCACAAAAGUACUCCACCAACAGGCUCUGAAUCACCAGGAUCCUGCUCCCAUAAUUCAGAUCAAUAAAGAGAUCCUUCAGAAUGUCUAGCAGUUCCCUUACCUCAGUAAUUAUCUGUCCCAGAAAGCUGACAUUGAUGAGAAAAUUCAACAUUGUGUUUGAGCCUGUGCUGCUUUCAGACACUUGAAAAAUGUGCCUUUGAAGAUCAUGACAUCAAAAAUCAAACCAAGCCACUGUUAUCCCUGCUCUCUUGUAUGGUGCUGAAACCUGGGUCACAUACAAUAGACACCUCAAAGUUCUUGAACGGUGCCUCUGCAAGAUCUUCAGACUCAAGUGGGAUGACCGGCGCACCAACAUCCAUGUUUAGUCCCAUGCCAAAACCUCCAGCACUAAAUCCGUGAUCAUCCAUCACCAACUCCAUUGGGUUGGUCAUGUUCUUCGAAUGCCAGAAAAUAGACUCCCAGAGGAGGUCAUGUUCUCACAAUUGAGCCAUGGCCAACAGACAAGGGGCAGGUAAAAAAGUGUUUCAAAGACGCCCUCAGAGCCAACAUGAAGAAGUGCAAUAUUGACAUAAACUCAUGGGAAACCCAAGCCCUUGACCAACCAAAAUGGAAAAGGACCUUGUGGCAAGGAUCCCAGUAUUGAAAGAUCCAACAGAGAAACGGGAAAGGGGGAAAGAGCAUACUACAGCUUGACUCAACAAUCCAGAACCCCCCCUUUCAUUGGGAAAUUGUGCCCCAAUUGUGACAAGAUCUGUGGAUCCUGGAUCAGUCUCAUUAGCCACCUGUGGAUCCAUCAGCAAUAACUGGCUAUCAUUUUAUGGAAGACAAUCAUACUCGAACUCUGAGAGAUCUCUGACAAUUAGCCUCUUGUGGAAAUAACUUCCUGCUCAAAUACAUCACUGUGUGUUGUACCCCACCCCCUUUUUUUUUUCUUGAAAUAAGCUACUUCAAAGAUAACUCCUGAAGCAUCAGCUUGUACUAUAAAUUCAGCUGACUAAGCCCCAGGAAUAAAC